AAUUAAGUGUUUGUCUUCUGAAAGCAGAAUGUACAAGGAUGAAACGGAGAUUCCCUUUAAAGUAAGGGUUUCUUGAAAAGUUUACCUUGGGUUCUCCUUGCGUAGCUUGGCAUUUUUCAUCUCCCUGUGCUUUGCCAUUUUUAUCUGGAUUUAACAGAGGUAAGAUCUCUAAACCCCUCAGGCUGGAAGGGAUGCCCUCUGACCAAGUGCUCUAGCACCAAUAUCGCCAAGCUUCAGGCGUGAACCCUCACUUUAAGGAAGGUUCACCUCUACUUAAAGAACCAGGAUGGAGAGCAAAGUCUCACACCCUACAAACUCACUGUCAAAGAUGGGUCUUUCACCUUCUUUCCCUAGAGAGCUUCCAGGCCAGAGGGGCAGGAGGUGGGACAAUAUACCCGGAGGAACCAAGCCACAGGGGGGUAGAUGAGAAGGGGCAAUACUCCUGCAGAGAGUAGGCACUGUGGGCAGCUUUGGACCCGGAAUUCUGCCAAAGCGAGACUAAGCAUGUCUUAACUCCAGGCCAUUCUUCCUCUCUUUCCAUAGGCGUAACAGUUCCUUGACUUCAGCUAAUUACCACAUUCCUGUGAAGGAGGAGCGAUGCCUCUCCCAAGUUUCUCUGCUAGCAUCAUGAGAGAACUGAUCUAUGAGCUAUUCAGUGGUUACUUACAUCAUUCUUGUGUUUCCAGCCCCGUGACUUGACCGCAAGGCUUUCAGAAGUGAUCCAGUUUCUGCCUGGUGUUAACCAUCACCACACUCGAGUCUUCCCAGCUGAGGAUCUGUUUCCUACCAUUCGGCUGAACGACGCCCAACUGAGGAGAAGUUCCUCUGUCUGGUUCAACGCCUGGUCACAGAGUUUUCCUGGCACAAAUGAGUGGAAAGAGCACUUUGGCCUGGAUGGGAAAUGUGCAGCAGAGGGUGAAAGGUGUCUUGGCAGACACUUGCAAUUUGUGUCCUUAUCUCACAGUCUCCAGCCAUCUUCAAAGGCUUUUUUUUGGCUUCUUGUGUUUUGCAAGUUCAAAACCCUGCACCCCACUGGUAUUGAAAACGUGUGAAUGAAAAAAAUAAUUGGAGAUGAAUGACAAUGUAAGUAUCAGUUGUUACUGCAAGGAAUGUUUCCUUCAUUUCUAAAAUGAGUUCAUUGAGAAAACCCUGCUUUCAUUUAUAUUAAACCAGGUUCUUCCACGGUGACUUUCUCAAAUUUAGAAGAUCUUGUCAUUUAAAUCCAGUUUGCCAUGGAACAUAAAGAUCAUUUGCUAUAUACCAUGUCAAACCAACAAAAACCCCUAUAUAAAGAACAGACUUUCAAGACACUAGAAAGUGGGAAAUUAAUCUCAUUGAAAGUUUGCCACCCUCCUCGAAGAAACAGAGUUGUGUGAUAAAUAAAUUCUCUGCAAAUAUUAAAAAAACA
rnacentral:lncRNA from 1 species